CUCGCACGAUCCAGCAACUACUCCCAUUCCACGCUACGCGACGCGAGGGACCAAUUCGCAGCGGCGGCGGCGGCAGGCCCCCGGAGCGCGCCGUACGCGCCGGCUGCCGGGAUGCGAGAAAGCCGGUCCGGUGCUGUGCGCUACUGACUACUGAGGCACCAUUUGCGAAGACAAUGUUUUGGAAGGCAUAUAUAGUUCGGAGCAAUGCUUGCACAGUGUCCCAGCACAGGGACACGUUGAAGAAUAUAAGCUUUACUGAAGAGAUGUUUUCUUGACGUAUUUGUCAAUCAGCAGGCAAGAAUCAGGAUGAUUUGAACUUCAAGGAAAUGUACCUUGCGUGUUAGAGCUCGUCCGAGAGCCUGGCUACAGUUUCCUGCAACCCGUCCUGCAUCUGCUCGAGUGCUCAAGAUGUCUGGAUGGCCGACUAUUGAUCAAUCAUGUCUGCGCUCCGACCAACUCUGCCAAAGAUUCAUGUGCCUCUGCUCAAAAUUUAUUGGAAAAAUCUGCCAAUGUCGAUACGUCCUACACUCUUGGUCCGUUUAACCAGCAACCAUGCUGAUCAACCUGUUUACAGAUGGAGCAUAACAACCAUACGGGGGCAGAGCCUACCGUUACUCGUUACACUCAUUACAAUCAUGAGAUUGACUAGCAGGCACUUUUAAGCAUUUAACGGAGGGAAAUUGACUGUAAAAUAUGCAUUGAACGCACACAGGUCAUGAAUUCAGUUUAUAAAGCUGAUUCUGUUUCAGGACA